rnacentral:rRNA from 1 species
CCUACGGGUGGCAGCAGUGGGGAAUAUUGCGCAAUGGGCGAAAGCCUGACGCAGCGACGCCGCGUGAGGGAUGAAGGUCUUCGGAUCGUAAACCUCUGUCAGCAGGGAAGAACGGUCACGGUGCUAAGCAGCAGUGAAUUGACGGUACCUGCAAAGGAAGCACCGGCUAACUCCGUGCCAGCAGCCGCGGUAAGACGGAGGGUGCGAGCGUUAAUCGGAAUUACUGGGCGUAAAGCGCUCGGAGGCGGUAUGUCAAGUCAAGGGUGAAAUCCCCGCGCUCCACGUGGGAACUGCCUUUGAAACUGGCAAACUGGCGUGUGUGCGCGGAUAGUGGAAUUCCAGGUGU